rnacentral:rRNA from 1 species
UAGGGAAUCUUCGGCAAUGGACGAAAGUCUGACCGAGCAACGCCGCGUGAGUGAAGAAGGUUUUCGGAUCGUAAAACUCUGUUGUUAGAGAAGAACAAGGACGUUAGUAACUGAACGUCCCCUGACGGUAUCUAACCAGAAAGCCACGGCUAACUACGUGCCAGCAGCCGCGGUAAUACGUAGGUGGCAAGCGUUGUCCGGAUUUAUUGGGCGUAAAGCGAGCGCAGGCGGUUUCUUAAGUCUGAGGUGAAAGCCCCCGGCUCAACCGGGGAGGGUCAUUGGAAACUGGGAGACUUGAGUGCAGAAGAGGAGAGUGGAAUUCCAUGUGUAGCGGUGAAAUGCGUAGAUAUAUGGAGGAACACCAGUGGCGAAGGCGGCUCUCUGGACUGUAACUGACGCUGAGGCUCGAAAGCGUGGGGAGCAAACAGG